UGGGGAAUAUUGCACAAUGGGCGCAAGCCUGAUGCAGCCAUGCCGCGUGUGUGAAGAAGGCCUUCGGGUUGUAAAGCACUUUCAGCGAGGAGGAAGGUGGUGAACUUAAUACGUUCAUCAAUUGACGUUACUCGCAGAAGAAGCACCGGCUAACUCCGUGCCAGCAGCCGCGGUAAUACGGAGGGUGCAAGCGUUAAUCGGAAUUACUGGGCGUAAAGCGCACGCAGGCGGUUUGUUAAGUCAGAUGUGAAAUCCCCGGGCUCAACCUGGGAACUGCAUUUGAAACUGGCAAGCUAGAGUCUCGUAGAGGGGGGUAGAAUUCCAGGUGUAGCGGUGAAAUGCGUAGAGAUCUGGAGGAAUACCGGUGGCGAAGGCGGCCCCCUGGACGAAGACUGACGCUCAGGUGCGAAAGCGUGGGGAGCAAACAGAUUAGAUACCCUGGUAGUCCACGCUGUAAACGAUGUCGAUUUUGGAGGUUGUGCCCUUGAGGCGUGGCUUCCGGAGCUAACGCGUU
rnacentral:rRNA from 1 species